CACCUCGCUGUAGGGCAGGUGUUUGACCAGCACAUUUGUUUCUACCAAGACACUCUGCCUGUUUGGUUGACAGAGGCAUGAGGGGGCCCCCGAGGGCUGAUUCACACUAUUACUGUCUCAAAAUGUGGGAAUCCCGCUUAAUUGCGGUACCAUUGCAGUGAUAACCAGUACUAGGAAACCCCCACCAAUAGGCCCCAUCUCAUUCGUGUUUCUUAGACCAGCUUUACAUCCAGCAGGUCCAUCAACUUCCACCUUCUCCAGCACUUUAACAGCAACACCACCACCUGCCCACAAAGAAGACAGAACACUCCCCACCUGUACCACCAGCAGCUCGACCACAACACAAAAAGAACCAUUCCCCCCUCCAAGUCCUGAUCCUGAUGAAUGUGUUCUGGGGAACACAAUGGCAACGGACAUUGGUCAGAAGGGUCCUGUGGGAUUUUCUGCCUGUGGCCCCAUCAGACUCUACAAUUGCCACUGGAUGUAUGUUGCCCAGAUCAACAGCCCUCCUCUCAUAGUGUGCAAAUUCUGGAUUACAAUUAU